UAUGACCAUGGUAGGAAUUUGAAGUGGCCCUUCGAAUGAAAAAGGUUCCCCACCCCUGCAUUAAACCUUUCUUCUAGCCACAGCUCUGCUGUCAGUACAUUUUAUUAUGAUACUAUAAGCUCAGAAAUGAAGUUGAUCAAACAAUUCGAUCGGUGCUAUAAACAUUUAAAUGAACCGAAUAGAAAUCAGAAUAGAAACAUCUGAAUGAUCUUUCUUGGACAUAGCCUACAUUUUGAAGUGACCCUUUGAAUUAAAAAGGUUCCUCACCCCUGCUUUUGAGGAAAAACAUCAAUGUGCUUGGCCACUCUGGUUUUUAAAUUAUUCUGAACUAGCAAGGAUUGUUCAAGGAAGUUCAAAACAGACUGUCUCUGGUUAAAUUAGUUCUACACCAAGCCUUUAGGUGGCAGUACAACUAAUUCGCACAAUGCGAAUUCCACACACAAGCCACAAAGAAGCCAUCUACCGCGGUCAACAACACCGACCUAUCUGAACAGCACCACGCGCUGUCUGUGUGGUUUCACUGUUACAAGUUUCUUGGCGAUAUGGGGGAAAGUUCCUCACAUACCAACGGAAAAUGGGCUUCACAUACAUGCUGCUGUCUCAUAAUAUGGCGAAGACGAGUCACUUGAAGGCCUAACAGCUCUUAUGAGGAGCAGUCUUGCCAUAGAAGACUGAAAGAAUGAGCUGUAGAAACAACAGGGUGCCUGCUGCAGUAUGACGAGGACGCCCUGAUCAUAGAAGGUCCAGUGUCUUGGCAGGGUGAAAUGGCACUGAUAUCGGUAUGUGGUGAUAUCAGUUAAAAUUAAUGAAUUAAUUCUCAUAUCUGAAUAAUGUGAACACUGGAUUUACCACACACUCACACACACCCUAGUCCUAGAUGAUACAACCAAGGUUACUUUUACCACAGCUCUGGCACUGCAUCAAAUUUCUUUUCUUUUUUAUAGAACUGGACAGGUCAUUUAUUCGUUCCCCUUGUUUUUUGCAGUGUCCUGCAGGAUGCUGUGUCCUGCAAUCCUGUGUGCUGUGCUACAGACGCGUGUGGAGGUCAACCCGAAAUGGGCACAGUAGAGUGAAAGAGGAUCCUGGCAGGGAGACGGUAGUGUCCUGCAGGAUGGUGAUGGGCAAUCUUACAAGAGACCACAGAAAACUGAUAUAGUGUAAGAUUAUCCCUGUUGGGCUCAAUAUGUCUUGCUUAUUGAUAUAUUUGCUAUGUCAAUAUGAGGUGCAUGACGAAGUAUUUAUUUAUUUGUUAUUUCUACAGCUCCCAGAAGUGAGACUGAGUGCCUGUUGCAGUAUGACGAGGAAGCAGUGACCAGAGACCUUCAGUAGACCCUGCUGGCAUGAUUGGCGGCUGAAGAACAUAAUCAACAGCAAUGUUUACUUUAUAAUAUUGUACAUACCUGUAUAGUCUGCACUAAAAUGCUGUACCUGUACUAUUUUUCCUCUUACUUUCAUAUUUACCACGUAUUUACUAUGAAUUGACAACUUUUACUCAAAUCCAUUUUUGUAUGUGCCCUGACUAAAACUAUCCUUAAACCUAACCUGUCAGAGGUGUAAUAACAACCUGCUCUUAGCAAUGUGGCAGCAGUCUACUUGGAUGCAGCGGGGAACAUAGAACCCUUUUUUUGAAAAAGCAUUGUAUGUUUCUGAGUUUUAUGAAUUGUGCCCUUCCCAAACCUAACCUGUCGUAGGGGCCUAUGAAAUCCGUUUUAUUUUUCCUCAUUCAGUUUUUUUCUGAUUUAUUUUUUGCCAAAUUGUUUUUUUUUUUUUUUUACAUCUUAUUUUCCC